rnacentral:rRNA from 1 species
ACUCCUACGGGAGGCAGCAGUGGGUAAUAUUGCACAAUGGGGGCAAGCCUGAUGCAGCCAUGCCGCGUGUAUGAAGAAGGCCUUCGGGUUGUAAAGUACUUCGGCGGGGAGGAAGGUCUCGGCUUAAUACGUCAGCAAUGACGUAUCGCAGA